rnacentral:tRNA from 1 species
CGCCGCGCCGGGGCGGGCCCGCGCGGCCCCGGCGGCCGUCCGCGCCGCGAACCGCGCCGGGUCCUCCGGCAGCGGCGGC